GAAUUAGUUUUUCUUUAUCCCACAUGGCUUGGUCUUGGCCACCUCCCUUCUGAUUUUGUUGCUAAUAACAACAUGCUUAAUCCUUUGCACCUUCCCUGUCUACCCCAGGCCUCUAAAACCAUUAUGAUAACUAAGCUUCCUGCUUGUCAAGCCUGAGAAUGGGAACUCUUAAGUUGCCAUCCAAAAGGGUGGCCCUCUGGUUGGAAGGGGAUGGUUAAGGGAUUUGUUUGGAGGUUGUAUUUGUGGCAUACACACUGAUUUUACUUGGAUUAUAUUUUAGAGUGGCCUUUUUCUUCCUUCCAAGUUGUCUCUCAACAUGUCCACUAGGUCAUAUUCUAACUUCAGUUCCCAUUGCUCAAGUAUUUUACUGGCAAACCCUCAAUCAAAAACUCUUCAAGA